rnacentral:rRNA from 1 species
CUGCCCUUGGGACGGGAAUACCCCCGGGAAACUGGGGCUAAUUCCCGAUAGGUGAAGAAUUCUGGAAUGAAUCUUCGCCCAAAGGACAUUUAUGUCAUGCUCAUAGGUGUUGCCCAGGGAUGGGGCCGCGUCCGAUCAGGUAGUUGGUGAGGUAAUGGCUCACCAAGCCUUUUACCGGUGCGGGCCGUGAGAGCGGGAGCCCGGAGAUGGGCACUGAGACAAGGGCCCAGGCCCUACGGGGCGCAGCAGUCGCGAAAACUUUGCAAUACACGAAAGUGUGACAAGGCUAUCCCGAGUGCCAUCCGCUGAGGAAGGCUUUUACCCAGUAUAAAUAGCUGGGAGAAUAAGGAGAGGGCAAGUCUGGUGUCAGCCGCCGCGGUAAUACCAGCUCUCCGAGUAGUGUGGAUGUUUAUUGGGCCUAAAGCAUCCGUAGCUUGCUAUGCAAGUCCCCUGUUAAAUCCACCGAUUUAAUCGUUGGAUUGCGGGGGAUACUGUUUGGCUAGGGGACGGGAGAGGCCGACGGUAUUUCCGGGGUAGGGGUGAAAUCCUAUAAUCCCGGGAAGACCACCAGUGGCGAAGGCUGUCGGCUAGAACGCGCCCGACGGUGAGGGAUGAAAGCUGGGGGAGCGAACCGGACUAGAUACCCGGGUAGUCCCAGCUGUAAACGAUGCAGGCUAGGUGUU